UACGUAGGGCGCAAGCGUUGUCCGGAAUUAUUGGGCGUAAAGAGCUCGUAGGCGGCCAGUUGCGUCUGCUGUGAAAUCCCGGGGCUCAACCCCGGGCGUGCAGUGGAUACGGGCUGGCUAGAGGCAGGCAGGGGAGAACGGAAUUCCCGGUGUAGCGGUGAAAUGCGUAGAGAUGUGGAGGAAUACCGAUGGCGAAGGCAGCCCCCUGGGCCAAUACUGACGCUCAUGCACGAAAGCGUGGGGAGCAAACAGG
rnacentral:rRNA from 1 species